rnacentral:rRNA from 1 species
AGUGAACGCUGGCGGUAGGCCUAACACAUGCAAGUCGAACGGCAGCACAGUAAGAGCUUGCUCUUACGGGUGGCGAGUGGCGGACGGGUGAGGAAUACAUCGGAAUCUACUUUUUCGUGGGGGAUAACGUAGGGAAACUUACGCUAAUACCGCAUACGACCUACGGGUGAAAGCAGGGGAUCUUCGGACCUUGCGCGAUUGAAUGAGCCGAUGUCGGAUUAGCUAGUUGGCGGGGUAAAGGCCCACCAAGGCGACGAUCCGUAGCUGGUCUGAGAGGAUGACCAGCCACACUGGAACUGAGACACGGUCCAGACUCCUACGGGAGGCAGCAGUGGGGAAUAUUGGACAAUGGGCGCAAGCCUGAUCCAGCCGUACCGCGUGGGUGAAGAAGGCCUUCGGGUUGUAAAGCCCUUUUGUUGGGAAAGAAAAGCAGCAGGUUAAUACCCCGCUGUUCUGACGGUACCCAAAGAAUAAGCACCGGCUAACUUCGUG